rnacentral:rRNA from 1 species
CGGACGGGUGAGUAACGCGUGGGUAACCUGCCUCAUACAGGGGGAUAACAGUUAGAAAUGACUGCUAAUACCGCAUAAGCCCACGGCUCGGCAUCGAGCAGAGGGAAAAGGAACAAUCCGCUUUGAGAUGGCCUCGCGUCCGAUUAGCUAGUUGGUGAGGUAACGGCCCACCAAGGCGACGAUCGGUAGCCGGACUGAGAGGUUGAACGGCCACAUUGGGACUGAGACACGGCCCAG